CUUACAGUCACUGUAUUAAACCUCCGUAGAGUGACAACAGAUUAGAGGCAGUGCUGACGCUUCUGUGUUCUUGGCUUGGUCUUGGGGUCCUGCUGGCAGCUUGAUUUGAUGGCUGAGUGUUUGUGUUUGUAGGAACGAAAAGGCAGCUCAGCUCCCCUCCACCUCCUCGUUAACCAGGGACAGCAGUGACCCUGAAACCCCGAGCCAAGAGUCGCCCGGCAGCGUGGGAACAGACCCACACAGGAUUAUGGGAAAGGAGGUUAAAGAGGAACAAAAUCGUCUGAAGGGGUUUACGGCCGGGAGAGACGCCGAGCGCUGCGGGAAGCCCUCAGACAGCCGGGAUGCAGGAGAGAUGGCAGCCCUCAAACUCCACACGGCCGCUGAAAGCGGGAACGUGCCGAGGCCCGAGUCCAGCGGCCACACACUGCUCCACACGCAACUCCAGAAGUUCACCGUUUCUGCAGACAAGGUGCCUAUUUAUUACUU
rnacentral:lncRNA from 1 species